AUUGAACGCUGGCGGCAGGCUUAACACAUGCAAGUCGAGCGAGCGGCGGACGCGUGUGUAAAGUCUGGGAAACUGUCCGAUGGCGAGGGGUAACCAUAGUAAACGGUAGCUAUAACCGCCUACCAUCAGGUAUGCCCCGAUGGGAGUAGCUCGUAGGGGGGGUAACGGCUCACCUAGGCGACGAUCCCUCGCUGGUCUGAGAGGAUGACCAGCCACACGGGAACUGAGACACGGUCCAGACUACUACGGGAGGCAGCAGUGGGGAAAAUUGCACAAUGGGCGCAAGCCUGAUGCAGCCAUGCCGCGUGUGUGAAGAAGGCAUUAGGGUUGUAAAGCACUUUCAGCGGGGAGGCGUUACCCGCAGAAGAAGCACCGGCUAACUCCGUGCCAGCCGCCGCGGUAAUUC
rnacentral:rRNA from 1 species